rnacentral:lncRNA from 1 species
AUACUUUCACUUUUCCCAAAUUUUAGUAAGACAAGAUCAUUAAAUCUUUAGAAUCCUCAAGCAAAAAGCCAACAUUGUUAUUCUCUCUAAAGCUUCCAAUUUUUAUUCUUUUCAUCUUAUUCUUGAGAGCUUCUUAUUGUAUUGUGAGGAUUAAAUUUGUGAGCUUCAAAUUGUAUACUCACUCUUUUAGAGAGUUUUCUUUUGUGUGAUUUAAAAACUUCAACAUAU